UAGAGGAAGAAACAGACAUGUUGCUCUGCAGCCUGCUGAAGGUGGUCACAGCUUCAAUGUGGCUAGGAUCUGGUAUUGCCCAGAAGGUAACUCAAGUCCAGCCAGCAAUGUUGGUGCAGGAGAAGGAGGCUGUGACUCUGGAAUGCACAUAUGACACCAGUGAUCCUAGUUAUAACCUAUUCUGGUACAAGCAGCCCAGCAGUGGAGAGAUGAUUUUCAUUAUUCGCCAGGACUCCUAUAGUCAGAAAAACGAAACAGAGGGUCGCUACUCACUGAAUUUCCAGAAGGCCAGCAAAGUCAUCAACCUUGUCAUCUCAGCUUCACAACUGGGGGACUCAGCAACGUAUUUCUGUGCACUGAGUGGCCCACAGUGGGAGGCUAGCUGGAGGGAGGUGUACAAAAACUGCAGGCACCUCCUCAUGACACGCACUGCAGCAGGGAAUCACCAUGACAGACAGGAAGUGGUUAGGCCUGUGGCAGCACAGGUGUAG